UACGUAGGGACCAAGCGUUGUUCGGAUUUACUGGGCGUAAAGGGCGCGUAGGCGGCAAUUCAAGUCAUCUGUGAAAUCUCCGGGCUUAACUCGGAACGGUCAGAUGAUACUGCUUUGCUAGAGUGCGGAAGGGGCAAACGGAAUUCUUGGUGUAGCGGUGAAAUGCGUAGAUAUCUGGAGGAACACCGGUGGCGAAGGCGGCAUCCUGGACCGACACUGACGCUGAGGAGCGAAAGCCAGGGGAGCAAACGGG
rnacentral:rRNA from 1 species